rnacentral:lncRNA from 1 species
GGCCCCGUUUGGUAGGGCUUCUCAAAGUGCUUCUCCACCGGCUUUUGAUGAAGCCCUACCAAAGGGUCAAUUUCAAAACGGCUUCACCACCAAAGCCGAGGAGAAGCCACAAAACGGCUUACACUAGAGAGGAGAAGCCGAAAAAAGUGGCUUCACCGGCUUCUCCUCUCUCUCCAAGCAUUAAGUGAUCAUAAAAUUACAUAUAUUGCCAUUGAGAAGCCGUUUUACCAAACGUUUUGCAAAACGGCUUUAGCUUCACUAAAAAAGCCACUCCACCGAAGAAGCCGAAGCCGAAGCCGUUUUAUGAGAAGCCGAAGCUCUACCAAACGGG